AUUGAACGCUGGCGGCAGGCCUAACACAUGCAAGUCGAGCGAGCGGCGGACGGGUGAGGAAUGUCUGGGAAACUGCCUGAUGGAGGGGGAUAACUACUGGAAAAGGUAGCGAAAACCGCAUACCAUCAGAUGUGCCCAGAUGGGAUUAGCUAGUAGGUGGGGUAACGGCUCACCUAGGCGACGAUCCCUAGCUGGUCUGAGAGGAUGACCAGCCACCCUGGAACUGAGACACGGUCCAGCCUCCUACGGGAGGCAGCAGUGGGGAAUCUUGCACAAUGGGCUCAAGCCUGAUGCAGCCAUGCCGCGUGUGUGAAGAAGGCCUUCGGGUUGUAAAGCACUUUCAGCGGGGAGGCGUUACCCGCAGAAGAAGCACCGGCUAACUCCGUGCCAGCAGCCGCGGUAAUUC
rnacentral:rRNA from 1 species